CAAUAGCGUAUAUUAAAGUUGUUGCAGUUAAAAAGCUCGUAGUUGGAUUUCGGGGCAGCCUGGCUGGUCCGCCGCAAGGCGAGUACUGGUCAGCCGCCCUUCCUCUCGAAAGCCCCGACUGCUCUUCGUUGCAGUGGUCGGGUAGUUCGGGACGUUUACUUUGAAAAAAUUAGAGUGUUCAAGGCAGGCCUACGCCUGAAUACAUUAGCAUGGAAUAAUGGAAGAGGACCUCGGUCCUAUUUUGUUGGUUUCCAGGGUCGAAGUAAUGAUUAAGAGGGACAGUUGGGGGCAUUCGUAUUUAAUUGUCAGAGGUGAAAUUCUCGGAUUUAUGAAAGACGAACAACUGCGAAAGCAUUUGCCAAGGAUGUUUUCAUUAA
rnacentral:rRNA from 1 species